CUCACUUCCCCUUUCCGUAUGACCUGCAAGACAGGAAGGUGUUGCUUACCGAGAAGCCAGAUCCCAGACAAGUUCCUGUUUUAGGCUGACUCUCUCUACAAUGGCUACUGGGAGCUAACUUUCUAUCCUAGACCUGAUAUCAUCAUGCAAGUCACAUCUACAGGAAAUUUUCCUGCUGAAUUUACUUUAUGCUACAUGACAAUUAACUGAACUAAUUACUGGAGGGCCAAGAGCACGUGACAUAUGACAGGAGCUAGACACCAAAGGGAGGCGAUGGGGAGAGAAGGUAAACUACGUUGAUCAACUUCAUGCAGGAGAAAAUGACACCGUGAAAACGGAUCAAGGGAAGACUCCAAAGUU